ACAAGAGACAAAAUGUAGGACUGGUGCCAACAGGUCAUCACGGAAGAAAGGACUCACCGAUCCGGGAUCACUAACUAAUACUAAAAUAAUAGAA